rnacentral:tRNA from 1 species
GACGGGGUGGUCGAGUGUUUAGGCGGUGGGUUGUAGCUCCACCAACGGAGGUUUAAUUCCUUCUCCCGUCA